UACAGAGGGUGCGAGCGUUGUUCGGAAUUAUUGGGCGUAAAGGGCGCGUAGGCGGUGCGGUAAGUCACCUGUGAAAUCUCCUGGCUCAACUGGGAGCUUGCAGGCGAAACUGCCGUGCUGGAGUGUGGGAGAGGAGCGUGGAAUUCCCGGUGUAGCGGUGAAAUGCGUAGAUAUCUGGAGGAAUACCGGUGGCGAAGGCGGCAUCCUGGACCGACAUUGACGCUGAGGAGCGAAAGCUAGGGGAGCAAACGGG
rnacentral:rRNA from 1 species